GGGGGAUAUUGCACAAUGGGGGAAACCCUGAUGCAGCGACGCCGCGUGAGCGAAGAAGGCCUUCGGGUCGUAAAGCUCUGUUUCGAGGGAAGAUAAUGACGGUACCUCGGGAGGAAGCCCCGGCUAACUACGUGCCAGCAGCCGCGGUAAUACGUAGGGGGCAAGCGUUAUCCGGAAUCACUGGGCGUAAAGGGUGCGUAGGCGGUCUUGUAAGUCUAGGGUGAAAGGCUACGGCUCAACCGUAGUAAGCCUUAGAAACUGCAGGACUUGAGUGCAGGAGAGGAGAGUGGAAUUCCUAGUGUAGCGGUGAAAUGCGUAGAUAUUAGGAGGAACACCAGUGGCGAAGGCGACUCUCUGGACUGUAACUGACGCUGAGGCACGAAAGCGUGGGGAGCGAAC
rnacentral:rRNA from 1 species